rnacentral:rRNA from 1 species
AUGUACCAUUUUUUAUAUUCUUGCAAGUGGUGUGCACAAUCAAAUUUUAACUUCAGCAGGAUAAAUAGGCUCCUAUUUACCUAUGUAUAUAUGCGUUCUUAUGUUGGUGGUACUAAAUUAAUACCAACAUAUUUUGACCCAUUUCUGACAUUGAUGCUAUUGCCAAGCAACCCACUAUAUACAUGGCUUGCACAUGAUACGGAUUGCAGCAUGUUGUGCAAGUUCAAUCUUCUCUUUCUGAAUCUUGCUUCUGACCUGCUGCUUAAUUAUUCUUUUAUGAGGAUGACUAGGAGAAAAUAUAGGACCUGGUAA